UACGUAGGGUGCAAGCGUUAAUCGGAAUUACUGGGCGUAAAGCGUGCGCAGGCGGUUGUGCAAGACCGAUGUGAAAUCCCCGGGCUUAACCUGGGAAUGGCAUUGGUGACUGCACGGCUAGAGUGUGUCAGAGGGGGGUAGAAUUCCACGUGUAGCAGUGAAAUGCGUAGAGAUGUGGAGGAAUACCGAUGGCGAAGGCAGCCCCCUGGGAUAACACUGACGCUCAUGCAACGAAAGCGUGGGGGAGCAAACAGG
rnacentral:rRNA from 1 species